GCCCGACUGGCUCAGUGGUAAAGCGUCUCACUAGUAAUGAGAAGAUCAUCAGUUCGAUUCUGAUGUUGGGCA
rnacentral:tRNA from 1 species